GCCGUGGGUGGCCCAGCGGGUGUGGGCGAUGCCGAUGUUGGCGGUGAGGCCGGUGGCGUCGGCCUGGGCGGUCAGUUCGGCCACCCGGCCGACGGCGC
rnacentral:tRNA from 1 species